rnacentral:snoRNA from 1 species
AUUUCUGAGGAACAUGUUUCCUUUUGUUUAUGAAAAAGGAACUUUUUUUAUUGGAAAUAUUGUCAGUGUGUUGUAAUUGUGCAGCGGCCAGACAACCGUAGGGAUGGUAUCCACAGAUGAUGGGUUUUUCCACUCACUUGUCUACUGAAUCCAUCCCACAUGU